UGAGAACUUUGUAAGUGUACAGGCAGUUUAUUAAAAGGAAACACAUUACCGUUCACGUCUGGUUGACAUACAGGCAGGCGCCUUGGGAAAACAGAACUCUGGGA